rnacentral:rRNA from 1 species
CCUACGGGCAGCAGCAGCGAGGAAUAUUGGUCAAUGGACGAGAGUCUGAACCAGCCAAGUAGCGUGAAGGAUGACUGCCCUAUGGGUUGUAAACUUCUUUUAUAUGGGAAUAAAAUGUUCCACGUGUGGGAUUUUGUAUGUACCAUAUGAAUAAGGAUCGGCUAACUCCGUGCCAGCAGCCGCGGUAAUACGGAGGAUCCGAGCGUUAUCCGGAUUUAUUGGGUUUAAAGGGAGCGUAGGUGGAUUGUUAAGUCAGUUGUGAAAGUUUGCGGCUCAACCGUAAAAUUGCAGUUGAAACUGGCAGUCUUGAGUACAGUAGAGGUGGGCGGAAGUCGUGGUGUAGCGGUGAAAUGCUUAGAUAUCACGAAGAACUCCGAUUGCGAAGGCAGUUCACUGGACUGCAACUGACACUGAGGCUCGAAAGUGUGGGUAUCAAACAGGAUUAGAUACCCGAGUAGUC